AUUGAACGCUGGCGGCAGGCUUAACACAUGCAAGUCGAGCGGGGUGAUGGUGCUUGCACUAUCACUUAGCGGCGGACGGGUGAGUAAUGCUUAGGAAUCUGCCUAUUAGUGGGGGACAACAUCUCGAAAGGGAUGCUAAUACCGCAUACGUCCUACGGGAGAAAGCAGGGGAUCACUUGUGACCUUGCGCUAAUAGAUGAGCCUAAGUCGGAUUAGCUAGUUGGUGGGGUAAAGGCCUACCAAGGCGACGAUCUGUAGCGUGUCUGAGAGGAUGAUCCGCCACACUGGGACUGGGACACGGCCCAGACUCCUACGGGAGGCAGCAGUGGGGAAUAUUGGACAAUGGGGGGAACCCUGAUCCAGCCAUGCCGCGUGUGUGAAGAAGGCCUUAUGGUUGUAAAGCACUUUAAGCGAGGAGGAGGCUCUUUUGGUUAAUACCCAAGAUGAGUGGACGUUACUCGCAGAAUAAGCACCGGCUAACUCUGUGCCAGCAGCCGCCCAGUAA
rnacentral:rRNA from 1 species